GAGGAGGAGGGAGAUGGAGGAAGGACACCAGCACUAAAGUCAAAACACACACAGAAGAGCCAUGUUGUGUUACACAUGAGCAGUGCACUGUGGACCAUGGAAUGGUUAUGUUCCAACCCCUGUUUCAGUAAUGCCAAGGCAAAGCUUCGACAGUUUGCUCAUCAAGAUCCUCCUGUGAGUCAGCCUGGUCCCCUGAGGGGCUUCGCAAUGAUAGGAGGAAAGCGCUCAGGGUCCCUGGCAGUCCUCCCCACAAGCUUUGAAAUUAAUGGAAAUUUCAUGGCUUUCUCUCUAAUACGGUCUUUUUAUUCUGAGUAUAAAAUAAUGAUGUUUUCUGCUUUUCACAGUUUCAAGAUUCGAAGAUGUGCCAUGCCAGGCUUGAUAGCACCUGGGCCUAUGGCAUUCGAGUGAGCCAAGGAUUGAUAGCUUUUGCCUUGGGACACAUGGAGCCUGUGCUCUGGCCCACCUGCCCUCAGGGAAGCAGGUCACAUUCAUGGUGAGCCACUGAGCCCCGCACAAAUUGAAUCAGAGAGAAAGGAUAACUCCACACAAUGGACGUGAUUUGUUAAAGAAUAGGGUUUCUGGGCUGCAAAGAUGGCUCAGUGGUUAAGAAUACUGGCAGAUCUUUCAGAGGACCUGGGUUCAAUUCCCCGCACUGACAUGCAGCUUAUAACCUUCGUCAUUCCUAUCCCAGGGGAUCCAAUACCCUCUUCUGGACUACUUGGGCACAAAUAUAUAUGCAGAUAAAAUAUCCAUGGGCAUAUAAUAAAUAUGUUUUUCAACAAGAACGUAUUGAGUAACCAACAGACAGGUGUAAAUACACAUGACCUUGAUGUUAUUCACGGGGCAGAAGGGUGAAUGAGACCACAAUGAGCUAACACAUAAGUCAGAAGCAGCUGCAAACUUCUCAUCUUAUUGUGUGAAUGGCUACAGUCAGUCUAGAACUCUAGAACUAUGAGGACUCCCAUGACCCUGCCAUCCAGCGGUGACGGCCCUAGGAAUGUACCCCAAACACGCAUGAACCAGAUGUGUUCACUAUUGCUCACUGUACAGUUGGUUUUCUGGAUCACCAAAUGCACACACCACUCCCACGCCCUUCAGCAGGAACAGAGACAAGUUUGUACAUUCUUAGAGUAGAAAUAUACCGUGAAUAAUAAAAUCACUUUGAGGGAGGGGCCAAACUAUGACCUGUGUUUGGAGAAUCCCUUCCCUGGAGAGAUGUAAACAAUGUCUAGUCCCUCCUCACACAAUCUCAACAACAAAACAAAGCCUGAAACCACCAAAGGUCACCUAGGGUGACCUGGGAGUGUUCUUACAAAGCUGCCACACUGGAAAGUCCCUAUUCAACAUGGAAGAUGGCUUCCCAUGGCCGUGAAGAUGGAGCCCCUUCCAGUUAACUUCUCCAAGUCCCUUCCAGACUCCAAGGCCACCUGCAAUUAGGACAACGUGGUAUACUGAUGGGGCGACUGGAAUCUCAGGUGAGGGUCUAAUACUUUCCUCUCUCCCUCUGAUGAGGGAGCGACAUGAAACAACGCUCAACACUCACCAAGCCUGAGAGUGACAGAGGCUGGCAAUAAGGCACAGAUGACCUAACGGCCAUGGUGGGUAUUUUGUCGGAGGACAGGGUUCCUCAACAAGAGGAACUGGUUUCAUCUAGCCUUCAAUGUGAUAUGAUGUGUGUGUGUGUGUUGAAAGGUUUCUAGAAGAAGCCCGCAUCAGUUCUGACAGACAGCCUUCCAAACAUUUGCUUUCUGACCUUUUACAAAAAAAAACAAAAAACAAAAAAACAAAAAACAAAAACAAACAGCUUGCCAACCUCUGAACUAAAACCUGAGUCACACACUGAGUCAAGAAAAGAAAUUCCAUGUGGGAUUCUACUAGUCUAUGUAAAGGUCAAAAUUCAUAGGUCAAACUAAUCUUUAAUCUUCAGCACAAACUAAGCAGUCAUUUAGGCAGGCUUUGGGCUUAAUGCUUCUGAAACCUGGUUGUCCAUCAAAAUGGCCUGAGAAAAUUCCAAUUUGCACGUAUUCAUACCCCCAAAUUUCCCCCUCCUCCACCAUUCAAUUACUUCUGAGGGUCUGGUAGGCGAUUCUGAACCCUCCAAUAGCUUAGGGCUAUUUAAGCCUUGGGGCCCCACCUGUGGUUUCCUUGGCAACACUAUAAGUGUAAACAGCAGCUUUGCUGUUUUCAAGGAAUUUAAAUCUCUCAUAUGAAAAGGCAGCAGGAUGGGGUAUCCUCAGUUCCUUGUCAGGCCCUAGGUGGAGGGAGGCUUAGCCUUCCACGAAGCCCAAAGGGAGGUGGGAGGGAUUAUUAUCCAUAAGGAGGUAAUAACCUUUCCCUUCCCAGAAGCCACCUCUCAGGGCACAUACCUAUAGUCCUGUCCAUCAGGCAGAACUGCGGAGCCUCUGCUGUGCAGCCUGCCUGCUCUUCUGAGUUAGGACUCAGGAUUGGUGGCUUCUGCUGCCCACAUGGUCCACUCAAGGUCCCUAGGGGAGCAAGGUGGGAGUAGGGGCCCAUCUGAAGCAACUGUAGUGCUCUCAGCUACCAAGGAGCAUGGGGUUUAAAUACUCUCAUCUCCUUUAUUUUCCUUGAAUUGUAUGUGAAUGUUGGUUUAAAUGUGUACUAUUAGUGUGCACAGUUAGUGUAUUUUCAGUAACCAAAUGGUCGAAUAAGGAUUGCUUUAGCCAGUUACAGCUAGAUUGUUCAUUGGAAGGUUCCUUGGAACCCUUUCUGACAUGUCUAUAUUUGUCUUCUUCAGAGAGAAGAAAGUCUCAGGCUAGUGGAUGCCUGGAGGCCCAGUGUGUGAGGCAGGUAUAGUGUGUCCUGCUAACCCCAGUUUAUGUGCAUCUGAGUGUGUGUCCCUCUAGGUUCCUAGAAUGGAUGAGCCUGCUGACACCACCCACCAGAUUUGGCUUGCUUGCCUUGGUCUGGUCUUAUUAGAGUCCCGUGGGACACGGCAGACGCUGUUGAGGAGUGGGUACAGCACCUUGCCACCCAAAGCUGCUUGGCAUCCAGGAGGAGCCUGAGUCACACAGACUGGGCAUCCGCCAUUGGUUGGUGAUGUCUGAAAAGAGGUGGCGGUUGUGUGUGAGGACCUCUGGUUUGCACACUUCCAAACUAGGGAGACUGAUUCUCAUUGUUGGCUGCAGAAAACUUCUAAAAACCAAUCAUUUAUUUACUUACUUUACUUGACCAAGCGUUUUGCUUACAUGUAGAUCGGUGCACAUGCGAGUACCUGCAGAGGCCAGAAGAGAGAGUCGGAUCCCUUAAAACAUACCGAAAGUCAGGCAAACUGGGACAAUUGUGCAGAGAAUGCCAGCUUCCUACAGGUCCGGAGCUCCGGAGUCGAAAAUCAAGAUGCUCUCUUGUAUACACUUCCACCAAUUCCGGCAAUCUCCAGCUCACAGCUGUGCGCUCCCCCACCAGUGUAUGCCACGCCCCCCUUUAUUGCCCCCACCCCAACCCCCCCGCAUAAAGACACCACACAUUAU